rnacentral:lncRNA from 1 species
AUUGUCACUCACAUUUCCAUGAACACUAUGGGAAUUACCUAAAAAAGAAACAAAAAUAACCACCAAAAUAAAGACAAGCCACUAUGGGUGUACCCAAAGUAACAACCAAAACCGUACAAGUAAAACCUAAAUUACACUCACCAGAAAUGGUACCAUUUUUAUAAUGCUCACCUACACCAUCGAAAUUUGCAGAUGAAGUCAUUAUCAAUAGCUCAACUUUUGUUGAG